AGUGAACGCUGGCGGUAGGCCUAACACAUGCAAGCCGAACGGCAGCACAGUAAGAGCUUGCUCUUACGGGUGGCGAGUGGCGGACGGGUGAGGAAUACAUCGGAAUCUACUUUUUCGUGGGGGAUAACGUAGGGAAACUUACGCUAAUACCGCAUACGACCUACGGGUGAAAGCAGGGGAUCUUCGGACCUUGCGCGAUUGAAUGAGCCGAUGUCGGAUUAGCUAGUUGGCGGGGUAAAGGCCCACCAAGGCGACGAUCCGUAGCUGGUCUGAGAGGAUGAUCAGCCACCCUGGAACUGAGACACGGUCCAGACUCCUACGGGAGGCAGCAGUGGGGAAUAUUGGACAAUGGGCGCAAGCCUGAUCCAGCCAUACCGCGUGGGUGAAGAAGGCCUUCGGGUUGUAAAGCCCUUUUGUUGGGAAAGAAAAGCAGCAGGUUAAUACCCCGCUGUUCUGACGGUACCCAAAGAAUAAGCACCGGCUAACUUCGUG
rnacentral:rRNA from 1 species